AUGUAUGAUAAUGUUGUGACAAGUGUUCGAACAAGUGAUGUCGACACUGAUGACUUCCCGAUUAAGAUAGGACUGCACCAGGGGUCAGCUUCAAGCCCUUAUCUUUUUGCCUUGGUGAUGGAUGAGGUCACAAGGGAUAUGCAAGGAGAUAUCCCAUGGUGUAUGCUCUUUGCGGAUGAUGUGGUGCUAGUUGACGAUAGUCGGACGGGGGUAGAUAGGAAGUUAGAGUUAUGGAGACAAACCUUGGAAUCGAAAGGGUAUAGGCUUAGUAGGACUAAAACCGAGUACAUGAUGUGCGGUUUUAGUACUAGGUGUGAGGAGGAGGAGGUUAGCCUUGGUAAGCAGGUGGUACCUUAG
rnacentral:rRNA from 1 species